GAUUAAGUUAUUAAGGGCGCACGGUGGAUGCCUUGGCACUAGAAGCCGAUGAAGGACGUUACUAACGACGAUAUGCUUUGGGGAGCUGUAAGUAAGCUUUGAUCCAGAGAUUUCCGAAUGAGGAAACCCAGCAUGAGUUAUGUCAUGUUAUCGAUAUGUGAAUACAUAGCAUAUCAGAAGGCACACCCGGAGAACUGAAACAUCUUAGUACCCGGAGGAAGAGAAAGAAAAUUCGAUUCCCUUAGUAGCGGCGAGCGAAACGGGAAGAGCCCAAACCAACAAGCUUGCUUGUUGGGGUUGUAGGACACUCUAUACGGAGUUACAAAGGACGACAUUAGACGAAUCAUCUGGAAAGAUGAAUCAAAGAAGGUAAUAAUCCUGUAGUCGAAAAUGUUGUCUCUCUUGAGUGGAUCCUGAGUACGACGGAGCACGUGAAAUUCCGUCGGAAUCUGGGAGGACCAUCUCCUAAGGCUAAAUACUCUCUAGUGACCGAUAGUGAACCAGUACCGUGAGGGAAAGGUGAAAAGCACCCCGGAAGGGGAGUGAAAUAGAACCUGAAACCGUGUGCUUACAAGUAGUCAGAGCCCGUUAAUGGGUGAUGGCGUGCCUUUUGUAGAAUGAACCGGCGAGUUACGAUUUGAUGCAAGGUUAAGCAGUAAAUGUGGAGCCGUAGCGAAAGCGAGUCUGAAUAGGGCGUUUAGUAUUUGGUCGUAGACCCGAAACCAGGUGAUCUACCCUUGGUCAGGUUGAAGUUCAGGUAACACUGAAUGGAGGACCGAACCGACUUACGUUGAAAAGUGAGCGGAUGAACUGAGGGUAGCGGAGAAAUUCCAAUCGAACCUGGAGAUAGCUGGUUCUCUCCGAAAUAGCUUUAGGGCUAGCCUCAAGUGAUGAUUAUUGGAGGUAGAGCACUGUUUGGACGAGGGGCCCCUCUCGGGUUACCGAAUUCAGACAAACUCCGAAUGCCAAUUAAUUUAAAUUGGGAGUCAGAACAUGGGUGAUAAGGUCCGUGUUCGAAAGGGAAACAGCCCAGACCACCAGCUAAGGUCCCAAAAUAUAUGUUAAGUGGAAAAGGAUGUGGCGUUGCCCAGACAACUAGGAUGUUGGCUUAGAAGCAGCCAUCAUUUAAAGAGUGCGUAAUAGCUCACUAGUCGAGUGACACUGCGCCGAAAAUGUACCGGGGCUAAACAUAUUACCGAAGCUGUGGAUUGUCCUUUGGACAAUGGUAGGAGAGCGUUCUAAGGGCGUUGAAGCAUGAUCGUAAGGACAUGUGGAGCGCUUAGAAGUGAGAAUGCCGGUGUGAGUAGCGAAAGACGGGUGAGAAUCCCGUCCACCGAUUGACUAAGGUUUCCAGAGGAAGGCUCGUCCGCUCUGGGUUAGUCGGGUCCUAAGCUGAGGCCGACAGGCGUAGGCGAUGGAUAACAGGUUGAUAUUCCUGUACCACCUAUAAUCGUUUUAAUCGAUGGGGGGACGCAGUAGGAUAGGCGAAGCAUGCGAUUGGAUUGCACGUCUAAGCAGUAAGGCUGAGUAUUAGGCAAAUCCGGUACUCGUUAAGGCUGAGCUGUGAUGGGGAGAAGACAUUGUGUCUUCGAGUCGUUGAUUUCACACUGCCGAGAAAAGCCUCUAGAUAGAAAAUAGGUGCCCGUACCGCAAACCGACACAGGUAGUCAAGAUGAGAAUUCUAAGGUGAGCGAGCGAACUCUCGUUAAGGAACUCGGCAAAAUGACCCCGUAACUUCGGGAGAAGGGGUGCUCUUUAGGGUUAACGCCCAGAAGAGCCGCAGUGAAUAGGCCCAAGCGACUGUUUAUCAAAAACACAGGUCUCUGCUAAACCGUAAGGUGAUGUAUAGGGGCUGACGCCUGCCCGGUGCUGGAAGGUUAAGAGGAGUGGUUAGCUUCUGCGAAGCUACGAAUCGAAGCCCCAGUAAACGGCGGCCGUAACUAUAACGGUCCUAAGGUAGCGAAAUUCCUUGUCGGGUAAGUUCCGACCCGCACGAAAGGCGUAACGAUUUGGGCACUGUCUCAACGAGAGACUCGGUGAAAUCAUAGUACCUGUGAAGAUGCAGGUUACCCGCGACAGGACGGAAAGACCCCGUGGAGCUUUACUGUAGCCUGAUAUUGAAAUUCGGCACAGCUUGUACAGGAUAGGUAGGAGCCUUUGAAACGUGAGCGCUAGCUUACGUGGAGGCGCUGGUGGGAUACUACCCUAGCUGUGUUGGCUUUCUAACCCGCACCACUUAUCGUGGUGGGAGACAGUGUCAGGCGGGCAGUUUGACUGGGGCGGUCGCCUCCUAAAAGGUAACGGAGGCGCUCAAAGGUUCCCUCAGAAUGGUUGGAAAUCAUUCAUAGAGUGUAAAGGCAUAAGGGAGCUUGACUGCGAGACCUACAAGUCGAGCAGGGUCGAAAGACGGACUUAGUGAUCCGGUGGUUCCGCAUGGAAGGGCCAUCGCUCAACGGAUAAAAGCUACCCCGGGGAUAACAGGCUUAUCUCCCCCAAGAGUUCACAUCGACGGGGAGGUUUGGCACCUCGAUGUCGGCUCAUCGCAUCCUGGGGCUGUAGUCGGUCCCAAGGGUUGGGCUGUUCGCCCAUUAAAGCGGUACGCGAGCUGGGUUCAGAACGUCGUGAGACAGUUCGGUCCCUAUCCGUCGUGGGCGUAGGAAAUUUGAGAGGAGCUGUCCUUAGUACGAGAGGACCGGGAUGGACAUACCUCUGGUGUACCAGUUGUCGUGCCAACGGCAUAGCUGGGUAGCUAUGUGUGGACGGGAUAAGUGCUGAAAGCAUCUAAGCAUGAAGCCCCCCUCAAGAUGAGAUUUCCCAACUUCGGUUAUAAGAUCCCUCAAAGAUGAUGAGGUUAAUAGGUUCGAGGUGGAAGCAUGGUGACAUGUGGAGCUGACGAAUACUAAUCGAUCGAAGACUUAAUCAA
rnacentral:rRNA from 1 species